rnacentral:pre_miRNA from 1 species
AAUGGAACUGCUGGGUCAUAUGGUAAUUGUAUGCUUAACCUUAAAAGAAACUGCUAAACUGUUUUCCAAAGUGGCUGUACUAUUUUGCAUUCCCACUAGCAGU